rnacentral:tRNA from 1 species
GCCCGCGCCUAGAUGGCUAGAACGACCCGCAAACCGCAGAAAAGCGGAGGAGGCAUUUCGUUCGUAAUGCGGGGGUCACAGGUUCGAGUCCUGUAAGCGGCACCA